GAGGCUGUAGUAUAAUAAGUAUAAUUUAUUUUCAAUAAAUGGGUUUGAAGUCUUGUA
rnacentral:tRNA from 1 species